UAAGAGACUCCCUCAUCAUAUCUCAGGCAGCUCAGUGCUCAGAUUGGUGGGCUUAGUGUCCACCUUAUAAGUUUCAGUCCUUUCCUUUGCAUGCCUAGCCUUUGUUCGUGCCUAUGUAGCACUCGUCUCCGCUACAUUAUUGUCAGUUGGUGGUUUCUUUGGAGGUGGCUAACCACUACCACCAGCUCUAUGGCUUCUAGUUGGUGUUUUCGAGUGGCCAUAUCACCUGCAAAAGAUACCAAACACAUAUUAGUAUAAUGUGUAACAUUGAGUCAUGGCGGUAUACAUUGCACCCCACAGUUAGCCCGAGAGCAUAAGUGUGCAACCAGGGUACAAGUGCCUACUACAACUUAAUUACAUUGAUAUAAGGUUACUUAGCAUCGUUGAAAAUCAAGUGGGUAGGACGACACACACGUCGUGCAUGAGUCAUGCCUAAGUUGGCCGCGGGUUGACAUUCGUUCUAAAAUGAAUGCAAUUUAAGUGCAAAGACCCCCAAAACGGCUACCCCACACUCAAUAGAUGCUCACAUUACCAAAAUAAUUAGUCUUGCUACUCACACUUCGCAAAACCUAUCAAAAUUUUCAUUCGGGUAAUUUUUCGAACACCUUAUAUGCAUAAUAUUUACCAUCAUAUUUCAAUGCAAGUAACAUGUGUUUUGCCCUCCCAAUUUGAGUGAGGUGGUGGGAAUUAUAGUUUUUCACCUUACCAUGCACAACAACCAACAAAAUCUUGAGCAAAUUAUGCUCCAAAAUUCAAAAUUCAAUUAUUCUAGCAAAAUAAACCAUAGCAAGAAAGAAGUUGAAAAACAAGAAAUAAACCAAAGGGAAAUGGGAGGGGAUAGGAACGAGCAAAAGGGAGGUCUGACCAGGUUGUAUGAGGGAUUGGGGGGGUUGGUGCGAGAGGGAAAUGAAGAAACGGGAGUGAGGUUUUAGACUAGAGGGGACGAUGGAUUUGACGGGGUCUAUUACGUGAGAGAGAUGGAACAUGGGUUAGGGUGGUGGAAAUAUUAUACCUGGGAACAAACAUUAGCCUUGAAGAAGAAGAAAAAAAGAAAAGAAAAAAAUUAAGAAAAAUAAAAAAAAAUUCACGAAGUGGAG
rnacentral:lncRNA from 1 species